CAUGUGGGGUUCAGAUGAUCGGCUGCAGUGCACACCGCUCUCUAGCUGCUGGUGACGGGAACGUGAGCAGCAUUUCUGUUCACCGGCUCAGCCUGUUGCACCAUUUAUUUUUUAUUCACGCACGUUAUACUUUGACUUUGUCGCUCUUUCUUAUCUCACCUACUGAAAGACUUUCUCGUGGUUUGUCAGUCGCUGCACUAUAGAGCUGCCACCAGGACGACUGAGGCUUCUUUCGCUGCUUUCUCAGGAUAUGAAAGAGACCACCAGUGACAUCAGAGAGACUGAUCUAGGCUAAUGAAAUCUCCAGAUGCCAGCAGGCACCACAUCCACUUAGUGACUAGCCAGGUUUGGUUGUGUUCUGUUAAUGUGCUGUUGCAUAUCGUUUGCUCAGAUAUGAGGACAUAUCAAUGUGCAUUUCGAUCAGAAUGAAGUUGUCAAGCUGCGAGCUGCAAGUGGAGAACUAUUUUGCUCUUGUCUGUGUUGUUGUCAUUGCUCAACCAGGAGACUGAUCCUCUCAGUCCUUGUCGUGGGAAAGACCAAAAGACUGAAAUUACAUCGCUCUCAUGGUGGACUAUUUUGAGCUCCCAAAGAGAGUGGCAGAGGGCAGGCGGCAGGUUCUAGUGACUCGCUCCUACUUAGAGCAGGAGAACCCCUCUUGUCUCAGCACGUCUGCAGCCUACAGCUUUUUCACUGCUCAGGCACUUUGUGAUCUUAACGAGGAGAGGAGUGGAAGAAUGCUGUGUGCCACAUCACCAGAUCUGGACCCUGAUGACAGCACAUCGUUCUACAUCCUAAAUGUGGGCCAGCCCCAGUCUAUGGUCACUAACCACCAGUCCAUUGGCUUGCCUCGUCAUGGCAUGCAGUCUCACACCCAGGUCAUCAGCACGUCGCCACGGUUUCAGACACACAAAUCUGACUCUGACCCUCCUGGCUAUGUGGCCCAAGACUCCAAGUAUGGCACCUCCCCGCUGCUCCCCUCUGCUCCUGUGGAGGCUCCAAAGGCCUUUGAAUGUCCCAGUAUCCAAAUCACAUCCAUCUCCCCUAGCUGCCAGCAAGAGAUGGAUGCCAACGAGGAAGAUCUGAGGGCCAACGGCCCUGACGGGGACUACCAUGGUGACAGGCCCAUGUCCAGAGACCACCUGUAUUUGCCCCUUGAUCACUCAUACCGGGACUCUUCACUCAGCCCUAGCCCCUGCAGCAGCCUCUCCUCAAGGAGCUGGUUCUCUGAUGCCUCAUCUUGUGAAUCAUUCUCACACGUCUAUGAUGAUGUUGACUCAGAGCUAAACGAAGCAGCUGCCCGGUUCACCCUGGGCUCCCCACUUACUUCCCCAGGCUGUCCCUCCCCUCAAACUGGUGGUGGCGUUUUGGAGGAGCAGCCCCACUGGCCACAACACCAACCCACCUUUGUGCACCACUCGCACUCCAUCAGUCUGUCCCCGCGACAGUCCCCCUGCCACUCGCCACGCACCAGUGUCACCGAUGAGAACUGGCUCAGCCCACGGCCACCUUCCAGGCCCUCCUCACGUCCGACCUCACCCUGUGGGAAGAGACGCCACUCUAGCGCUGACAUCUGUUACGCUGGCUCAUUGUCUCCACAUCAUUCGCCCACACCCACACCCGGACCUUCACCCAGGGGCAGCGUGACAGAAGACACAUGGGCUGGAAGUCCAUCUGUAGGCAUGUCACCCUUUCAGUGCUGUCCAUCUGAGGCAGACAUCCCAUCUAAGACAAGGAAGACCUCACAGGACAGAACAGCGAUACAGACUGGGAAAGGGGAACUUGGGCUAGAUGAACAAGGAAAUAUGUCUCCCAACUUAGACUCCCCAUCAGAUGAGACCCUGCAUGGGCUCAAAAAGGACGGGCCAGGGGAACAGUUCCUCUCAGUGCCCUCCCACUUCUCAUGGAGUAAACCCAAGCCUGGGCAUACACCUAUAUUCAGGACGUCCUCCCUGCCUCCUCUAGAUUGGCCACUACCAAGCCAAUUCAGCCAAUAUGAACUAAAGAUAGAGGUUCAACCCAAAGCCCACCACCGAGCCCACUAUGAGACCGAAGGCAGCCGAGGAGCCGUCAAAGCAUCAUCGGGGGGCCAUCCCAUUGUCAAGCUCAUUGGCUACAGCGAGAAGCCCGUCAACCUGCAAAUGUUCAUUGGAACAGCAGACGACCGUUACCUUCGGCCGCACGCCUUCUACCAGGUGCACCGGAUCACGGGGAAGACCGUAGCCACCGCCAGCCAGGAAAUCAUCGUCUCCAGCACCAAAGUUCUCGAAAUUCCUCUCCUGCCCGAAAACAAUAUGUCAGCCAGUAUUGACUGUGCUGGCAUUCUUAAGCUGCGGAACUCCGACAUUGAGCUGCGGAAGGGGGAGACGGAUAUCGGAAGAAAGAACACACGGGUCCGUGUGGUGUUCAGGGUACACAUCCCUCAGCCCAACGGCAAGGUGCUGUCACUGCAGGCCUCCUCCAUUCCUGUGGAGUGCUCCCAGCGUUCAGCUCAAGAGCUGCCCCAGGUGGAGAAAUCCAGCCUGACCAGCUGUCUGGUCAACGGGGGAGACGAGAUGGUCAUCACAGGGUCUAACUUCUUCCCAGAGUCCAAGGUCAUCUUCCUGGAGAAAGGCCCUGAUGGGCGGCCGCAGUGGGAGGUUGAAGCAAAAAUAAUCCGAGAGAAAACUCAAGGAUCGUGCAUUGUGGUGGAGGUUCCUCCCUACCACAGUAAGGCAGUGGGCUCAGCCGUGCAGGUGCAGUUUUAUGUUUGCAAUGGCAAACGGAAAAGGAGCCAAUCGCAGCGCUUCACGUAUCUGUCAGUUAUGGUGAAACAGGAGCACAGAGACGAGUUGGACCUUCCUGCUGUACCCCCCAUGUCAGUGCCCCUGGCACACACUGCCAGUCUGGUGUGCACCCAGCUGCCUUCUCCUGAACAGGGCCACCCAUCGGACAACCUUCUGUCCAGCUCCCCUCACGGCCUGGCCGCGGGCUCCGGACCUGGCCUGCUGCCCCUGCAGGCCCCCUGCCCCUCGCUGGGCUCCCCUUCUUUCCAGCACCUGCCUCACCUCCAGGGUCACAGUUUGCACCACCCCCCUGCAGACUGCCACAUGACCUUCCUCCCGAGCUCUGCUCCUGCUCCUCCUUCUGCUCCUCCUCGACCCUCCUACCAGCCCAUUCAGCACAGCCACAGUCAAGUUCAUAGCCUGUCCUUCAAUGGCCAGUCCAGCCUUCCACCUCAGGGUUAUGAGAGGAUGCCCUUUCAGCAAAGCGCCAGUGCAGCCUCACAUCCAAUGGGCAUGGGAAUGGUGUACUCCUCCUCCCCCUGCUCCUCGCCAUCAGCUCCCUCCUCUUCGGGCGCCAAUCCCAUUGCUGGCUCUCCCCAGGGUCAGCAGCCCCUGCUCUCCCCCUCAUCACCGCACCUCCACACUCUUGGAGGCUACCACUGCUCCCCGAAUCCCACUCAGGUUCCUUCACCCAGUGGUCACCCUCUUGUAGCGCAGCACCCGUCCCAGCUGCAAAGGGCCAUGGGCUACCACCCAGUGAGUCAGAGGUCAGCAUCCUGCCCCACGCCGUCCAGUGCUCCUCCCCCACGGAUGAUCCCCUCUCCACACUCCGGGCCUUCCUCCCCUCAGCUCCACUCCCUGCCCUACCAGUCACCCACCUCUUCCUCAUCCCCUACUUCGGGCGGCAGUCCUUUAGGGCCCCUGCAACAGCAGCCUUCUCCUCAGGCCACCAGCCCAGUGAUGGUGAGCUUGUCCCCCGCAGCAGCAGGCCCUCUGGUUCACCCUGUAAGCCCACAGGGGCCAUUCUCUUCGGAAGGGGAGAGGCUGAACAUCAAGCAGGAGCCGGAGGACAGGGAGCCCACCUUCCGCUCUAUUGGCCUACAGGACAUCACGCUGGAUGACGGUAAGUCUACUCCCCACCGCUGCUCCAUUCACGGUUCCCCUUGUUCAGUUCUUUUUUCUUUCCCUGGGUCCGUCUUGUUGUUGCUGUCAUUAUCACAUUUAUCGCCCUCUUCUUUUACUCGGAAUAUUUAGAGAGUGCAUGUCUAAAACAAGGAUCCGCUGAGGGAUUAAAUUUACCUAACAAAAUGUGAUGCACAAGAUAAAUUUGUAUCUGAUGAUGUAAAACAAUACAGAUCAGCAGUUGUCUUUUUUAAGGGGCUGAAACCUGGAUGUCUGAUUACAGUGAUAGCGUUUCAUCUGCCAUUGCAGCCCACAGUUGUGUACACAGGUUCAUUAGUAUUGAAUGACAUAGAUGCAAUUGGACUGAUAACAGCAGUAUCGUAUUAAGGGGGCGAAUUGUAAACUGCCUGGCUUCUGUGUGUUUGGCAGUCGUUUGGUGGUGAAUUAUUACACUUGUGUACUUUUUUAGAGGCAGAGUAUUGCAUCAUUUGGUGCUACCCUGCAAACAUUGAUCACAGAGACUACUUGUGUGCAGCAGCAGUAAUUACAUCCUGUGUGUUUGUGUGCAUGUGAGCAUGUAUGUGCGUGCAGUAGCAGCUCUAAUUAGGAUGCCUGGGAGAACAUGUUGACCUAACAAGCGCGUGCAUUUAGCAGCCUUUCCUCUCAUCCGUGAAUGCUACUUUACCUGAAGCUCUUCUAAAUCAUCUACCUCCUCGCCUGGAUUUGUUAACACCAAUGCCGUUUUCAAAUGAGGGCUAUAAAGAGUUAAGGUUAAUAAAUAGCCCAGUGAAGCCGUGUCAGGGAGGUGUGAUAUCGCACGCUAGCAAGGAUCAGCCUGAGUAACACAAAGCCAUUGUCAGUAAGUCAUGUGUGAAAGCGCAUCAACCACAAUACUUAUGCAUGCGCACACCCGUACAAUGGUUUGGACGUGUAACAUGUGUAGAACACCCUGACGGAGGUUCUGUCACUGCUGCAUUUUUUACAAGCCACAUUGAAUCUGUCUUCUCAGAAAGGUCUGUUACACUGGUGUCUCAGACGUACAGGAGAUGCUCAUACAGCCUCCACAAGCAGCCGGCUGCACUAGCUCUAAAAGUGUGAGAAAAGUUUGUGAGUGACACGGUUCAGGCAGGAAUGUGAGCUCUCCCUUUGAGCUGCUGCCUAAAAAUAGCUUUCUGUGCCAGCCCAGCUCUGUAGGCCAUGUUUUGAAGUAGACACAUGGAGCUUCACCCAGCUCUGAGUUUUAGAAAGUCGCGGCACUCUCUUUUAAGUAGACCACCUCUACAUCAGCUUGACAGUCGGAUGUACAAACACGCCAACAUAUGUAAAUGUAGACUGGUGCAGCAUAAACCAUGUGUCUGAGGUUUUACACCCAAAGUCAUCUUGACUGAAGCCUUAGAAGGAUUCUGCAUAUUUAAUGUUUCCAAGGCAGCGUUUAUGACCACUGGGCCUGAGCAUGUAAUUAAUACUCCUUAAGCAGGACAUACGACCUUUGGCUCUACAGUUAAUAAGCAGAAGUAAAACAACCAUCACCGGAGGAGGUUUCAUCGCUUUCCUCCCUGAUAGAAUACGUCAGAAUACGUGAGCCUGUAAAGGGUUUUAAUACGAAACUCCGAAAAAUGUCUUUUUGCAUCAUGUGACAGUCCUACAUAGAUAAAAUGAACCACCGCAAUAGUAUCACAGGCUUGUAUCAGUGGAACGAGAGGGAUCACAAGCGCGCGAGGCUAUAAAACCGCUCCAGCUAGCAAGCAGAUGGCCCUCGUGACGCACAGCAGAGCAUGCCUGGGAUGUGUGUGUGAGAGAGAGGGCCGGUGUGCUGUGUUUAUGUGUAUCUGUUUGAUGUUGUGGAAGUGUGUGUGUGUGUGUGUGUGUGUGUGUGUGUGUGUGUGUGUGUGUGUGUGUGUGUGUGUGUGUGUGUGUGUGUGUGUGUGUGUGUGUGUGUGUGUGUGUGUGUGUACAAAGCAGGAGACACAGGAGGUGAGAAAACAGACUGACAGACAGAUGGACAGACGAGUCGAAGAUCCAGCUCCACUGCACGGUCUCUCAGCCUUGCUUCAAUCUGAGAUGCACUUGCUCUUGGAUAUUUAGUAAAUGAAAUCAUUGGCAGAGACAUGUCCCAGUCGCCCGGCGCUGCAUCAUCACACCCCCAGCCAUAGAACCCCCCCCCCCUCGGCUUUAAAGCCCUGCAAAUCCACCGACGCCGGGCCAGAUCCUCGGCCCGUUAGCGAUGGAACGAGGGAAAGAGGCGAGACGGUGCUCAAAGACGCGGACAGAGGUUCCUGUGGAGGUCAUAGCAGAGCCUGACGAGACGGUGACUCCAUUUGUUUCAUCAGAUUUCAAACUAAAGAGAAAAAGGCGGAGCUCACAGGUUAAGAAGCGUCUGAGUUCAGGCUGAAGAAGAAGAUGGAGGAGCAGCAACCAAAUAAAUCAAUCACCGCUGGCUCUGCUCGGAGCCGCGUGCUAGUUCUCAGACGUUACACAUGAACGUGAUGCGUCUUCCUGACCAGUCAAUUCACAGCACUUUGUGCACAAUUCACUGUGUGUGUCGUUUGCCUCUCUCACCAGCAUCGUGAUCGAUAACAUCUGGAGACGAAUGCGAGACAAGUUACUCAGGCAGCGCUGUUUGUUUCUUAACAAGCAUCAGUGUAGUGAAACUCCCCGAAUGCUCCAGGAGUGAGAUUAGAGAGACCAUGUUUAGACAGUGAUUUGCCACAUUUCAUGAAAAAUCUAAUCAGAUCCUUGAACGAAGAGUCAAUGAAUGAUGUGUAAAGGUGCCGUCCUUGUGUUUUCACGCCGGCGAGACGAGCCCCUGGUGCUGGUCUGCGAUCUGCAACAUUCCACAGACUGAACUACUGCUGUUCCUCCAUCACAUCCCUCCUCUCACAUUUCACCUUUAAGUUGAACAAAUGCCUUUAACGUUUAGCAGCUUUGCACAGUAGUGAAAGCUUUUUUUUUCUGGCUGAGAGUUUUUCAGACAGACUUGACUCAUGUGGAUUGGAUCUUAGAAUGAGUUAGAUUCAGGACUGAGCUGUUCCUGCUGAUCAUUUCCUUGUAAGCCACUUUGAACGGACCCAUUCAUUUCCAAGUUACAGAAGUGUUUUAAUCAUCUUCAGAUGCUACCACUCCUCUAGGGGCCUUGCUGUGCCUUCUGUUUCUGAACUUCCCCACAUUGUUAACACCACAACCGGAGACUCUUCGUGUCCUACUCUGACAGAUAUGCAGUGCCUGUAUGGCAGCAAUAACCCAGACUCAUGUAGAGGAUGUGAACAGACAGAUUCGGCUUGGAGGAUUUUCAUGGGCUUCUGUUUGCCUUAAGCUUGACAUUGAUGCUCCUGCGUGUGCGAGCUGAUGAGUGGCGUUUAUGACAAUGUAUACUGAUUCUGCUAUGCAUCAGAUUCUGCCUAAUGCCUUUAAAAAUGAGAAAACACACAAAAAACCCUUGAUGCCUCUAGAAGUAGACUGUAGACGCCUGUUUGAUUCUGUUACGCUUCCAAUCUGCCUUUUCAAGACGCAGCGCAAGCAUCUUUAUAGUUCCAGUCGUGUGUGUGUGUGUGUGUGUGUGUGUGUGUGGAUGGUUGGUGCUUGUACCACAUAUGCUGUACAGAGGUGUCCUGUGUUCUACAACUGAAGCACACGUGUAUUUAGGCUAUGCAAAGUAUAACAGCAGCUAAUGUGAGAUAUUACACAAGUAUGAGAAAUGAGAUUCUAGACAUUUGUAAUAUUGCUUAUUGAACUUUCACAGAGCAGAAGACGCGUUCAGGUAGUGAGAAUCACAUCACCGUGUGAACUAGUAGGAUGCCUUAUCUCUGGUUUGAAGGCGGCUCCACGUUGCUCUUUGACAAGUCGGCACUAUUCCCGUGAUGCUCCGGUUCGCGUUGGGGCGGGUGGAGACCGAGGGCUGGGUGGGAGAAGGGAAAAGUGCACAUUAAGCUGGUUUUGCAGCUCGAAAGACUUGAGUCAACCAAGAAAAAAAUCUAAAACCAGCAUCAACAAUACUCUGGUUGGUUUGUCUCCUGUCACAACCAAAGACAGAACAAUAUGUUCCCGUUUAACUUUAUGCUGAAGCAACACAGACUGUACAACUCUAUUUUUGAUACUUUGAAAUGGAUGUCAUUCCUAAGAGGCUGGGGACACGCAGGAGUGAGUAUAUAUAGAAAACCAGGUUGGUAUAUACAUAUAUAUAUAUAUAUAUAUACUAUGAAUUUUGUAAAUUACAAAAGGGAAAUACAGGUUUAGCUGAUGUUUACCGAGCCUUGUAUUGUCAUUUCUUGUAUAUUUUGUAUGUUACAUUUUUGUAAUUUUUAAGACUGCAGUGCUUUUUGAACUUGUUCAAAUGGAAACCUUGCAUCAUACUGUAGCUCUAAGGUAGUGUAUCAAUAAAACAGAAAACUCA